GACGAACGCUGGCGGCGUGCUUAACACAUGCAAGUCGAACGGAAAGGCCCUGCUCUUGUGGGGUGCUCGAGUGGCGAACGGGUGAGUAACACGUGUGUAACCUGCCCUUGACUUUGGGAUAACUUCAGGAAACUGGGGCUAAUACCGGAUAGGAGCUCCUGCUGCAUGGUGGGGGUUGGAAAGUUUCGGCGGUUGGGGAUGGACUCGCGGCUUAUCAGCCUGUUGGUGGGGUAGUGGCUUACCAAGGCUUUGACGGGUAGCCGGCCUGAGAGGGUGACCGGCCACAUUGGGACUGAGAUACGGCGCAGACUGCUACGGGAGGCAGCAGUGGGGAAUAUUGCACAAUGGGCGGAAGCCUGAUGCAGCAACGCCGCGUGCGGGAUGACGGCCUUCGGGUUGUAAACCGCUUUCGCCUGUGACGAAGCGUGAGUGACGGUAAUGGGUAAAGAAGCACCGGCUAACUACGUG
rnacentral:rRNA from 1 species